rnacentral:rRNA from 1 species
GACGAACGCUGGCGGCGUGCUUAACACAUGCAAGUCGAACGGUAAGGCCCUUCGGGGUACACGAGUGGCGAACGGGUGAGUAACACGUGGGUGAUCUGCCCUGCACUUCGGGAUAAGCCUGGGAAACUGGGUCUAAUACCGGAUAGGACCCUGGGAUGCAUGUCCUGGGGUGGAAAGCUUUUGCGGUGUGGGAUGGGCCCGCGGCCUAUCAGCUUGUUGGUGGGGUGAUGGCCUACCAAGGCGACGACGGGUAGCCGGCCUGCGUGGGUAACCGGCCACACUGGGACUGAGAUACGGCGCAGACGCCUACGGGAGGCAGCAGUGGGGAAUAUUGCACAAUGGGCGCAAGCCGGAUGCAGCGACGCCGCGUGAGGGAUGACGGCCUUCGGGUUGUAAACCUCUUUCAGCAUCGACGAAGCGAAAGUGACGGUAGGUGCAGAAGAAGGACCGGCCAACUACGUGCCAGCAGCCGCGGUAA